GGUUAAGCGACUAAGCGUACACGGUGGAUGCCCUGGCAGUCAGAGGCGAUGAAGGACGUGCUAAUCUGCGAAAAGCGUCGGUAAGGUGAUAUGAACCGUUAUAACCGGCGAUGUCCGAAUGGGGAAACCCAGUGCAAUUCGUUGCACUAUCGUUAACUGAAUACAUAGGUUAACGAGGCGAACCGGGGGAACUGAAACAUCUAAGUACCCCGAGGAAAAGAAAUCAACCGAGAUUCCCCCAGUAGCGGCGAGCGAACGGGGAGCAGCCCAGAGUCUGAAUCAGCUUGUGUGUUAGUGGAACGGUCUGGAAAGUCCGACGGUACAGGGUGAUAGUCCCGUACACCAAAAUGCACAGGCUGUGAACUCGAAGAGUAGGGCGGGACACGUGGUAUCCUGUCUGAAUAUGGGGGGACCAUCCUCCAAGGCUAAAUACUCCUGACUGACCGAUAGUGAACCAGUACCGUGAGGGAAAGGCGAAAAGAACCCCGGCGAGGGGAGUGAAAAAGAACCUGAAACCGUGUACGUACAAGCAGUGGGAGCACCUUCGGGUGUGACUGCGUACCUUUUGUAUAAUGGGUCAGCGACUUAUAUUCUGUAGCAAGGUUAACCGUAUAGGGGAGCCGCAGGGAAACCGAGUCUUAACUGGGCGUUAAGUUGCAGGGUAUAGACCCGAAACCCGGUGAUCUAGCCAUGGGCAGGUUGAAGGUUGGGUAACACUAACUGGAGGACCGAACCGACUAAUGUUGAAAAAUUAGCGGAUGACUUGUGGCUGGGGGUGAAAGGCCAAUCAAACCGGGAGAUAGCUGGUUCUCCCCGAAAGCUAUUUAGGUAGCGCCUCGUGAAUUCAUCUUCGGGGGUAGAGCACUGUUUCGGCUAGGGGGUCAUCCCGACUUACCAACCCGAUGCAAACUACGAAUACCGAAGAAUGUUAUCACGGGAGACACACGGCGGGUGCUAACGUCCGUCGUGAAGAGGGAAACAACCCAGACCGCCAGCUAAGGUCCCAAAG
rnacentral:rRNA from 1 species